UACGUAGGCAGCAAGCGUUGUUCGGAAUUACUGGGCGUAAAGAGUGUGUAGGCGGUUUUCUAAGUUCGGUGUGAAAUCUCCCGGCUUAACUGGGAGGGUGCGCCGGAAACUGGACGACUGGAGUGCCGGAGAGGAUAGCGGAAUUCCUGGUGUAGCGGUGAAAUGCGUAGAUAUCAGGAGGAACACCAAUGGCGAAGGCAGCUCGCUGGGACGGUACUGACGCUGAGACGCGAAAGCGUGGGGAGCAAACAGG
rnacentral:rRNA from 1 species